ACUCCUCCAACUCCGGUUUUCCAGAGUAUGGGAUUUGGGUGUUGCUGGUCCCUGGUAGACCGGCUCGCCUUAAAUGCAUUAGCGAAGCCCUUGCGGCCUUGGCAGUGAUAAUUAUCCGCGCCUCGGCUUAGCGACUUUGAAGGGGAAUUGCUUACAGCCGUCCUCCGGGACAAUACACUACG
rnacentral:misc_RNA from 1 species